ACGAACGCUGGCGGCGUGCCUAAUACAUGCAAGUCGAACGCUUCUUUUUCCAUCGGAGCUUGCUCCACCGGAAAAAGAGGAGUGGCGAACGGGUGAGUAACACGUGGGUAACCUGCCCAUCAGAAGGGGAUAACACUUGGAAACAGGUGCUAAUACCGUAUAACAAUCGAAACCGCAUGGUUUUGAUUUGAAAGGCGCUUUCGGGUGUCGCUGAUGGAUGGACCCGCGGUGCAUUAGCUAGUUGGUGAGGUAACGGCUCACCAAGGCGACGAUGCAUAGCCGACCUGAGAGGGUGAUCGGCCACAUUGGGACUGAGACACGGCCCAAACUCCUACGGGAGGCAGCAGUAGGGAAUCUUCGGCAAUGGACGAAAGUCUGACCGAGCAACGCCGCGUGAGUGAAGAAGGUUUUCGGAUCGUAAAACUCUGUUGUUAGAGAAGAACAAGGAUGAGAGUAACUGUUCAUCCCUUGACGGUAUCUAACCAGAAAGCCACGGCUAACUACGUGCCAGCAGCCGCGGUAAUACGUAGGUGGCAAGCGUUGUCCGGAUUUAUUGGGCGUAAAGCGAGCGCAGGCGGUUUCUUAAGUCUGAUGUGAAAGCCCCCGGCUCAACCGGGGAGGGUCAUUGGAAACUGGGAGACUUGAGUGCAGAAGAGGAGAGUGGAAUUCCAUGUGUAGCGGUGAAAUGCGUAGAUAUAUGGAGGAACACCAGUGGCGAAGGCGGCUCUCUGGUCUGUAACGGACGCUGAGGCUCGAAAGCGUGGGGAGCAAACAGGAUUAGAUACCCUGGUAGUCCACGCCGUAAACGAUGAGUGCUAAGUGUUGGAGGGUUUCCGCCCUUCAGUGCUGCAGCUAACGCAUUAAGCACUCCGCCUGGGGAGUACGACCGCAAGGUUGAAACUCAAAGGAAUUGACGGGGGCCCGCACAAGCGGUGGAGCAUGUGGUUUAAUUCGAAGCAACGCGAAGAACCUUACCAGGUCUUGACAUCCUUUGACCACUCUAGAGAUAGAGCUUCCCCUUCGGGGGCAAAGUGACAGGUGGUGCAUGGUUGUCGUCAGCUCGUGUCGUGAGAUGUUGGGUUAAGUCCCGCAACGAGCGCAACCCUUAUUGUUAGUUGCCAUCAUUUAGUUGGGCACUCUAGCAAGACUGCCGGUGACAAACCGGAGGAAGGUGGGGAUGACGUCAAAUCAUCAUGCCCCUUAUGACCUGGGCUACACACGUGCUACAAUGGGAAGUACAACGAGUCGCAAAGUCGCGAGGCUAAGCUAAUCUCUUAAAGCUUCUCUCAGUUCGGAUUGUAGGCUGCAACUCGCCUACAUGAAGCCGGAAUCGCUAGUAAUCGCGGAUCAGCACGCCGCGGUGAAUACGUUCCCGGGCCUUGUACACACCGCCCGUCACACCACGAGAGUUUGUAACACCCGAAGUCGGUGAGGUAACCUUUUGGAGCCAGCCGCCUAAGGUGGGAUAGAUGAUUGGGGUG
rnacentral:rRNA from 1 species